CCGCAUCUGCAAGUGAAUCAGGAUCCAGUAUGAAGGAGAUGAAGCAGAGCGGAGAAGAGCUCAAAGAAGGAGCAGAAUACCCUGAAAGUUUUGCAAACUGGAUAAAAUGGGGAGAUGCUGUUUGUUUAAGUCAGAGUUUUAUUCUAAUCGUCACCUAAAUUCGUCAUCCGAAGGAUGUGGAUUUCUGUACAGAGGAAAUAAGGCGGUAAGGUAACAUCCGAAAGCAAACAGCUCUAGCACAAGCUAAGGCUGAGGCUGCUUUUGAUCAGCAUUCAUACAGCAGUUUCAAAGUCAUAGUUUUGACCCAUUCUAGCAAGCAUCACAUAGAGGAGGUAAAAAAUUAUAUCUGAUUGGCGGUAGGCGAUUACUUCGUCUCUCACUCUCUCUUCAUAAAUAAGGCAAUAUCUCCAACCCCUGUGUAUAGUUUUCGUGACCCAAAAACCAAAAAAAAAAAAAAUCACUGAUGGAGCUGCUUAGAUUAACCGGUUAAGUCCUGUGUAUAUAAACAUGCUGACUGGUUCUCAGUUGGGCAUCUAGCAUUGUUAAUCAAUCCGAACUGCCAGGUUCAGUUCUCAUUUA